rnacentral:rRNA from 1 species
GCAGUCGAGCGGACAGAUGGGAGCUUGCUCCCUGAUGUUAGCGGCGGACGGGUGAGUAACACGUGGGUAACCUGCCUGUAAGACUGGGAUAACUCCGGGAAACCGGGGCUAAUACCGGAUGGUUGUUUGAACCGCAUGGUUCAAACAUAAAAGGUGGCUUCGGCUACCACUUACAGAUGGACCCGCGGCGCAUUAGCUAGUUGGUGAGGUAAUGGCUCACCAAGGCAACGAUGCGUAGCCGACCUGAGAGGGUGAUCGGCCACACUGGGACUGAGACACGGCCCAGACUCCUACGGGAGGCAGCAGUAGGGAAUCUUCCGCAAUGGACGAAAGUCUGACGGAGCAACGCCGCGUGAGUGAUGAAGGUUUUCGGAUCGUAAAGCUCUGUUGUUAGGGAAGAACAAGUACCGUUCGAAUAGGGCGGUACCUUGACGGUACCUAACCAGAAAGCCACGGCUAACUACGUGCCAGCAGCCGCGGUAAUACGUAGGUGGCAAGCGUUGUCCGGAAUUAUUGGGCGUAAAGGGCUCGCAGGCGGUUUCUUAAGUCUGAUGUGAAAGCCCCCGGCUCAACCGGGGAGGGUCAUUGGAAACUGGGGAACUUGAGUGCAGAAGAGGAGAGUGGAAUUCCACGUGUAGCGGUGAAAUGCGUAGAGAUGUGGAGGAACACCAGUGGCGAAGGCGACUCUCUGGUCUGUAACUGACGCUGAGGAGCGAAAGCGUGGGGAGCGAACAGGAUUAGAUACCCUGGUAGUCCACGCCGUAAACGAUGAGUGCUAAGUGUUAGGGGGUUUCCGCCCCUUAGUGCUGCAGCUAACGCAUUAAGCACUCCGCCUGGGGAGUACGGUCGCAAGACUGAAACUCAAAGGAAUUGACGGGGGC